rfam:Bombyx mori DNA, contig: Bm_scaf41_contig23412, strain: p50T/Dazao, build 2, whole genome shotgun sequence.
UUAACUUAAUUUUGUAUGCAGUUGGAACGUUUGCCUACGUUUGCCGCUAGGGGCGUUGUUCCAACUGCAUACAAAUUUGAGUUA